GCUUAACACAUGCAAGUCGAACGGCAGCGCGGGUAGCUUGCUACCUGGCGGCGAGUGGCGCACGGGUGAGUAACGCGUGGGAAUCUGCCCUGUAGUACGGAAUAACAGCGGGAAACUGCUGACAAAACCGUAUACGCCCUCCGGGGGAAAAAUUUAUUGCUAUAGGAUGAGCCCGCGUAAGAUUAGGUCGUUGGUGGGGUAAUGGCCUACCAAGCCUACGAUCUUUAGCUGGUCUGAGAGGAUGAUCAGCCACACUGGAAGUGCGACACGGUCCAGACUCCUACGGGAGGCAGCAGUGGGGAAUAUUGGACAAUGGGCGAAAGCCUGAUCCAGCCAUGCCGCGUGAGUGAUGAAGGCCCUAGGGUUGAAAAGCUCUUUCGCCGGGGAAGAUAAUGACGGUACCCGGAUAAGAAGACACGGCUAACUUCGUGCCAGCCGCCGCGGUAA
rnacentral:rRNA from 1 species